UGUACUGGGCGUGGCAGCCGUGCGGUACAAGUGUUAGGCAGUAUAUAUAGAUACAAGCAUGUAAUUGCAGAGAUUAUCAAUGAAAUGAAUUAGUCUAUAUUUUCUCCCCCAAAAGAUCUUCUCCAAACCCUUCUUUUUCUCCACUACUUCUCUAUCCCAAUUUCUUAUCCCACUCUUUAUCUCUAAUCUCUAUCCCUAACCCUUUUCUCUCUAAUUCUCAUCUCUACUGUCUCUAUUUCAUCUUUCUCAACCCCGGGGAUAUUACACAUAGCCAAUAAAUUAUUUUUGUUAUUUCUCAAUCCCACUGUCAGGGAUAUUCAACUUGAAGUUUGUGAUUUCGUUUCCAACCGCCAACGUUUGGACUUUUUUAACUUCAUUUCUCGAACGAACAACCACCGAACAAAUACGGUCUCUUUCAUGGCUGAAAAAAAUCAAAAAUUACUACGACUUUAUAUUAAUAAAAUUUUAAAAAUAAAUAAAAUUUAUUACCGUCUUCAAUGACUACUCGGUCAUUUAUAUUUGCAAAAAUUUUUAACAAUCACCAUACCGUCUCUUCCAUAAACUAAAAUAAAAUAUAUCAUUAGUAACAUAAAUUUUAAUAUAAAUUAAAAUUUUAAAUUUAUUUGUUUACCUAAAAUUUCUUAUGUUUUUAAUAACGAUAUAU
rnacentral:lncRNA from 1 species